ensembl:lncRNA
AUGUUCUGGAAUCUUUUCUUCAGCAUUCUGUCAGAUAGUCUUACAGCAUGUUCUUUGAAGCACAACUCACAGUUCCUUUUUGAUAUCUGCCUUUUGCCAUCUAUGGACAAUUAUGAUUCUUUGUCUGGUUGUUUCUAAUAUUGAGCUGGAAUAUAUCCCUCCAUAGCUUCUCACUGGUCCACAUUGUAUUCUCUACUCAGAGGUGUUGGUGAUCCAGUAGAAAUAUCAUCCAAGAAAGUGGGUCAAUGAUGAGUCUCAGCUUUGCUGGUUUGGGGGUUGGGUUAGAAGAAGCCAAUCCAAGAUGAAGAGGCAAAUGAUAUGAGAAGCUUGUUCGGUCCAUCCCUGUAGAGGAGGGGCCAAGAGGACUCCAGAAAUGCUCUCCCGUGGAGGAGGAAAGAUGACCUCUUCCAGAUUAAAGCUGCCUGGGGCUGAGCAGAGACUGGUUUCUUUAGCUGGGCAGGAGGCUCUCUAACCUCAAACUUUAACGAACCUAUUAAUAACUUGGUGAUUUUAGUAAAAUACAGAUUCUGAUUCACUGGUUUGAGGUUGGGUUCCAGAUUCUGAGUUUCCACAAUUCUUCUGUGUGAUGCCCGUGCGCCAGGUCCCCUGACCUCACCCUGAGCGCAGCACUCUAGGAGACUCGCGGUGCAUACCUGCUCAGGGGAGCCAGAAUCCUCUGAGUCAAGUUAGUCAAGUCAGAGUUUUCCAAACUUGCUUUAUCAUAAUCGCCUGGGAGUUCUUCUUGUAAAUAUAGAUUACCACUUCUAAUUUCACGUGUGCUAAAUAAUACUUUUUAGGAAAAAGGCUUAGAAUUUUAUUUUUUAUUUUCAGUAAAUACCCCAGGUGGUUCUUAUGAUUAGCAAGUUUGCGAAACAUGAACUUAACGCGGUGUUUUUCCUGGUCGGUCUUCAGCCCGCAGCCAGGCUGACAGCACCAGCAUCCGCUCUCCUGAGGAGCUGACUGGAAAUGAGCUUGGAUAUUCUCACUGAACGUUAGAACUCAGAUCUCCCCAAGACCCCGAUGCGCCCCCGGCUUGACACCUAUCACAGCAUGGCUUGCCACUCGGUGCCAUGUCCGCACCCGGGAUCCAAACUGGUGAACCCCGGGCUGUCAGAGCAGAAUGUGUGAAUUUAACUGCUGGGCCACUGGGUCAGCCCCUAUAAGGCACCUGGUCGAGCCCGUAUCCAGAAAGGACAGACGGAAUCUCUCUCUCUUGCUUUCAUUUGGAUCCCGUUCUUCUUUAAUCGUGCUGGUUCUGUCUCAUCCUUGUCCUUUCCUAUAUCCCACAUUGACCUGUGUCCACUCACCUUGGAACGGCCCUUUCUUUACAUUAGAUUUGAUUGGUUAUCUGUGGGGUUUUCAGUGUCUCUGACAGUAAUUGGUCAAUAUUUAAAAAUUUGGGUUUAGAGUGUUCAUCAGUUGUAUUUAUUUAGCAAUAGUAUAUUAUUCUACUUGAUUUUUAAAAACAGACCCAUGAAAAUGCUGGAGGUUAGACAAAUGCAGGCUGUGAACCAACAUGUGCAUUUUAAUUAAGUGUGUAGCAGCUGUUUUGGAAUGUAUUUAUCUCUAGGCUUCACCACUGUUUAAGGCUUAAUAAUUUGUCAUUUGUUACAGAGAAGACAAUUUCUGACCUGAGUGGUAUUUAACGGAUCUUCAUCCAUUGUGAAUAAAACAAACAAUGACAAUAAAGUCCAAUCCACUCUAUGGUUAUAUCCUGUGUCAAUUAUAAACAUCUCUUUAAUGUAGUAACAUGUGCCUUUACCAUUUAUGUGUCACCUCUACUUGCAUAAAGUAGGCUCUCUCUGUGUUUUAAUAUGUUUACCAUAAUUAACCCUG